GAACUCCGCAGUUAAGCGCGCUUGGGCUAGAGUAGUACUGGGAUGGGUGACCUCCCGGGAAGUCCUAGUGUUGCACCCU
rnacentral:rRNA from 1 species